UACGGAUUUUUUUUCUUCUUCUCUUUUGGUUUGUCAGCUACAGAGAAUUCAAAUUAAAACUUCUUCUGGAGCUCAGGGCUAGACUCUGCCUAACACACAUUGCUCUUCAGGAGAUGGAAGGUAAAGAAAGCAGCAUGGCUCUGACGUACACUCCUGGCUUUGGACCACAUCUUCGCUUAUAAUUUAUGAACACGGGGACUUGCGACUGGCACAAAAUUAUAUAGAAAAUGCCUACAGAGGGCUUUGGGGGUUUAUUCUUGAUUCACAAAGAAGCAUGGAAGUAGGGGAGGAGAGAAGGAAGGAAAACAUGCUCAUAGAUCCAAGGUAAGUCGCAUCAUAUUAGCCCAUAUUUCAUCCCAAACAGAUCUGUGAGUUACUUCCUGAUCAAACUAUUACUGAGCAGAUAGCAUUUGAGAUGUUUCUUGUAAUCCAAACGGACACAAACAAAACUUGCACUGAAGGGGGUAAAAUCUGUUAGCAAUGCUCCCGAGA
rnacentral:lncRNA from 1 species